rnacentral:lncRNA from 1 species
UAUGGAAUGGGACCAUUGGUGCUAAUUAUUUCAUCCAUAGGUUAAUGGUGACAAGCCACGGUCACUUCAAGGUCAUAGAGCCUCUCUUAAUAAUUGAUAAGCUGUAUUUAAUAUAGUUUUUCAUUUCAUUUUUUAUCAGUUACAAUCUUAGAACAUUAGAAACUAUAGACAGCUUGGCAGUAAUCUCUCUGAAAAGUGUUCCUGAAUGUCCCAUUCUUAAACCUCUCUGGAUACAACCGAAAAUCUAUGCGCUGAAACACAGCAGAGGAAGCAAGAACUGCCAUAAUCUCCUUCAAGCACAGGAUCCUGGGGCCGGAGCUCCGAGCUCAGUGUGGCAGAGCAUCUAGAGCUGCGUGGAACGGAUGCGGCCAAGACUCAGCAGAAACUCUGUCGAUAUCUAUUUAUAUUCUUGCAGUCUGGCUGAAAUGUUGAGUGGAAUAUUUGGGAAGAUGUCAUCAGGUGGAGAGGACAAGCACUCUUCUUCCCGUUGAACGUGGAUGUGAUGGCUAGAGCUCUAGCCUCUGUCUCCUGCUCUGAGCUCAAGCAGAGGCUGGAAGCCAUGCAUAGCCGGGCAGAAAACAAGAAAGCCUCAGGCCCAGAUGAUGUUGUGGAGUUACCAGUAUACUAGAGCCGGACUAUCAGCCCUGUGCUGUCUCCCUUCAAACUUCAGUUAAAAAUACACUUCUUAUUGUUUAUGCCACUGGAGUACUUAUAACCAGCAGAUAAAUUGUUU